CACAUGCAAGUCGAGGGGUAACAGGGAUUGCUUGCAAUCCGCUGACGACCGGCGCACGGGUGCGUAACGCGUAUGCAACCUACCUUCUACAGGGGGAUAGUCAAUAGAAAUGUUGAAUAAUACCCCAUACGAUCUUUGAAUAGCAUUAUUUAAAGAAGAAAGCUCCGGCGGUAGAAGAUGGGCAUGCGUCCUAUUAGUUAGUUGGUAAGGUAACGGCUUACCAAGACUUCGAUAGGUAGGGGUCCUGAGAGGGAGACCCCCCACACUGGUACUGAGACACGGACCAGACUCCUACGGGAGGCAGCAGUGAGGAAUAUUGGACAAUGGAGGCAACUCUGAUCCAGCCAUGCCGCGUGCAGGAAGACUGCCCUAUGGGUUGUAAACUGCUUUUAUACAGGAAGAAAUAUACCUACGUGUAGGUAUUUGACGGUACUGUACGAAUAAGGAUCGGCUAACUCCGUGCCAGCAGCCGCGGUAAUACGGAGGAUCCAAGCGUUAUCCGGAAUCAUUGGGUUUAAAGGGUCCGUAGGCGGUCUUUUAAGUCAGAGGUGAAAUCCUACAGCUCAACUGUAGAAUUGCCUUUGAUACUGAAAGACUUGAGUUAUUGUGAAGUAGUUAGAAUGUGUGGUGUAGCGGUGAAAUGCAUAGAG
rnacentral:rRNA from 1 species